UUCCAGGGAGCCUGGGGCUGGCAGGUAAGCGCCGGGCUCCUCGGGCCCGGGCCGGGGGCUCAGGACAGGGCGCGCGACCCCGAGUCCCGGCUCGGACGACAGCCCUAGGGGACGGCGAGGGCUCCGCCCCCCACGGCCCCAGCCCCUGGCCUGUCCCGAGGCGGGUGCCUUCGGAAGCGACCCCGAGCGGCGCACGGCGGCCGCGGGAGGAGAGGCGGCACGCAUAAAUCCAUAAAGCGCUAGGAGAUCCGAUUAGGGCACGGCUAUUCAUUAGGCCGGGGGCGAUUGAAUUAGGUCGCGGGUGUGGGCCCGGGGGGCCGGCGCGGGCUGAACGCGGCCGCCGGGAUGGGCGGGGGUGGGGGGAGAGGUCUCUGGCGCAGACCACCGGGCUUGGGCCGUGGCUUCCGGAGAAAGAAAUCCCAGCACUGGCCCGGGAGGGAGUGUUGAGGAGACGGGGUUCCUCCUGGUCCUGAACCCUUGAGUGCGUGCGGAGGCCGCCCGCUUCCCACGCACACCGGGGAAAGCCAGCCCGAGCCCUGUUCGGCUCCGGAGAAAUCGCGCCCUCCUUGGGGUGGGUAGGUGGGUGGGGGCGCCCUCGGCCCCCCGAUCCAGCGCAGGGCCAGGCGGGGCCGGAGCUGAGGCAGGGAGCGGCUGUCUGUGCCCUCCCGGAGCACUCCGGGCUCCCAGCACUUCUCCGGUUUCGGUGGCGUGGCGCGCCGAGCCGGCCCGAUCCGUGCGCCCAGCGGCCCCGCCAGCUCCGCACUGCCCUUGGAUUCCCAGGCCCCAGCGGGGCGCCCCUCACCUCCGCAUGUUUCCCCAUUACUGUCUCCGAUGAGCUUCUUUUCUGGCCCAGAACUUUUUUUUUUUUUUUAAUUUAAGAUUAAGUUUUAAAGCUCCACUUGAAAUUUUUUAAAAUGAGAAAAAUACGUGUAAGAAGGAAACCCUCCAUCCAAAAGAAAGAACGCCUUGGCAACCCGCAGUGUCCCUGGAGUUGCUCGGAGCUUCCUGAGGGUGUGCUUGCUGGUGCGCCCCCAGACGCGACGGUGGGUCGGAAGGGCCUCCAGGCCCCCAUUCUCCUUCCGGGUGUCUGAGGAGGGGCAUCUGCUGGGAAGCUCCUCGGGGGCCCCCAAACCCUGUCCCAUCCCCCUCGGGCAGAGUAUUGUCCGAGGGUCCUGGAGCUUGGCUGAUGGGCCCCACCGCAGCCACAGCCCUAGACUUGCAGGCUACCAGCUGGAUGAGAGGCGGGAGGGCAGCACAGGCUCCGGGCCUCCCUUCCCUCGGAAGAUUGGCUCAGAUCCUUCCAGCUCCCCAUCACCACACGCCUAAGUCAGGGGGUGAGAACUGGCCUGCAGAACACCAGAGUGCCCUAGAGUCCUCUGCCCUGUCCCGCAGGUCACCUUCCCAGAGAGAUGCUGCCCACGUGGGGAGGAGGAAGAACAGCUCCCUGUCUGCCUCACUUCCCGCCUCCCUCUCUCCCCAGUGUCACUUGAAACAAAUCUAGUGGGCUCUUUUUUUUUUUUUUUAACCCCAAUACUGUUUCAAAACAGUUGUUACAGCAAAUAGCUGCAGACGGGCCUGCUGGAUGUGGCAGGGGCUGGCAGCUGCCCAGCACAGGCGCUUGGCCGCCAGGCAGCUCCCACAGUACCAAAAUAAGCUCCCCGUGUUCCCCCUCGGAAGACGGGGCCCGCGGAGGCUCUGGCAGGGGCACGUCUGGUUGGGCGAGCUCUCAGCUUGGAGGAAACCUCCCCUCUUUCAUUUUUCACCCUCCCUGUUGUCCAGAGCUAACAACUGUUUCCAAUUUCAGAGGAACAUGGUGUAGGAUCUGCAGAGCAGCCUUCCCCUGGGUGGGAGAGGGCGGGAAGGAGAGGGCUGGAGAGAUGAGGUCAGGGUUGAGCUGGGGCGCCCAGGUCUCUGCAGCCGCCCACAGUUUCACGAGUGGGCUCCCCAUCAGGCGACGCCCACACACCCUGGCCAGCGGGCAUGCCCUGCCCCAGUCUGGAACACCACCCAGGGGCGCCCUGGAACCCCCAGCUCGCUUCCUGCCUGGCGGGAGCACAGGCCUGGCAGGUACUCGCUUGCGCUUGGCCUCUGGCCCCACGUAGCCAGCUGUGCCUGACACCUGGGCACGCGCACUUGCACAGCACACAGCCACACGGCACUCCCGCACACACAACUCACGUGCCGUUUCACUGGUGUGCCACCCCCCCCCCGCACACGCACACACUCCUGCGCAUCACACAGCGCGCCACACACCCACACACGCCUUCACAGCGCUCGCUGGCACCGGCGCUUGGGAGAACCUGCCUUCUUCCCUCGCACAGCCUGGGGGCCCCUGUGGCCCCUGGCCCUGCCACCACCAGGUGCCCCCUCCUGCGCUGGCGCCCCCUCUGCUCCCCCCGAGAGCAGCAGCAGCAGCGGAUCCAGGGCUCCUCACUCCCCAAAGACCACCGGCCCGCUGUGUCUGAAAUCAUGAAAUAAUCAUUUUUUUUUUAACGCAAGGGGGUGGAGGCAUCGGGCGAGUUACAUAAAAUUGUGAAUUAGUUGCUGCUCCAGAUAAACGCCUGCUCGGGCCAGAGAGCAGCAGAGCUGCGCCGCCUGGGCAAUUGUGUGUCCGUGUCUCUCCAUUGUUCCCUGGGCCAUUAGUCAAAGGGCAAAUUAGAAACAAUUUCUUGACAAAAAUUGACUCCUCAUUUUUCCCACCAGAGGCACGGGGGUGGGAGGCUGGGCCAGCCGCAGGCAGGCCGGUCUGGAGGGGGCGCUGGGACCCCGGGUCUGCACUUGCCCCGCGUGCCAUAGGGGAGAGGCCGGGCUGGGGCCGGGCACCCCCAGCUGAGGGGCCGAGUUACCAGCCCACCUCCCCCCACCAUCUGGCUGGCUGCACAGCCCACUGGGUUCCCCAGGACGGUGGAGGGUUUAGGGGUUUGCAGCCUCCUCUCAGGUAACGGGGGUGGAAGAGAAUCGGUGCCCUGGCUGGGGAGCUGAGCCUCUGGGAAGCAGGCGAGGCGCCCGCCCCAGCCCCAGAAGGAGGUCUUCUGCCACCAGGUGUGGCAGGUGUGGGAGGUGGAUUGGGGGGGGGGUCAGUGUGCACCAGCCCUGCCCUUGCUCCCACUCCCUGGGCACCCAUCAGAGCAGCCUGCACCCCUGGCUUCCCUCCCCACCAGCCUCAGCUUGGCUGGGAGUGGGCGGAGGAGCCCCCGCCCCACCCCCAAGCAUCCCUCCCAAGGUGCUGCCUGGGACACGGGUGCCUAGGCGGGGGUGGCCUUCUCCUUGCCCUGCCUUCUGUCUUUGGGGCUUCAGCUUGGUCGGGGCAGGCCUAUUUUGGAGGGGAGAGGAAGGCAGAGAUCUCCCAGACCCCUCAUCGGGGAAGGGAGCUGCCCCCACCGGAAACAAAGCUUCCAGUCACAGCCCCUUCAUUAUCUAGCAGGCCCGGCGGGGCCCAGAGGGCCAGGUGGCAGGAGAGGGGGCCACUCUGAGGCCCAGGGUCAGGAGGCAGCAGACAGAAGAUGAAGCGCUGUCAGGAGCCGGGCCGGGCGGGAGGGUUCUCCUGUCACCUGGCAGGAAGACUGCCUCCAGCAUCUCCCAGGCUCCGUGCGCUCGGCUGAGUGCCUUUCUCAGGAUCCCAGCUCAGGCCUGAGCCCUGCUCAGCUGGAGCCCCCGGAAUGUCAGGGAGGCCCAGCUGGUCUCUGCAGGCCACAGACAGACUCCAAGACAGACUUGGGGAUGUGGCUGGAAGUUUUAAAAGGCAACAAGAGCAGCAGGGGAGCCAGACUUUGAAGUCAGAUGAACAGCUUUGCUGGGGCGGGGGUGGGGGGGGCUAAUUCUGUUGCUGGUGUGUGCAACCAGGUCAGGAGGCUGCCCAGCCCCCUCCGCUCAGGAAAGGUGCUUGUUAAACACAGAGUCAUAAUUUGUGGCUAAAUAUAAGCCAGUGUGUUCACACGGAAAGUAUAAUUCAGGGAGCUGGUUGUGUGAGCUUAUCAACCAGGAGGCCCAUCUGGGUUAAAUUGAAGUGAUUUUCAUAAAUGAGCAGGAGCAUCCGAUGGCCAGGUUCCUUCCUGACUUUGUAUUCGUGACAGUCUGACUGCUAUUAGUGUUAAAGCGGAUAAAGGGGGUGGGGGAUCCCGGGACCCCAGAGGAGGGGGCCUCCCAGCGCCCUCCCCUGCUCUCCCCUCUGUCCUGCCCCCCCAGCUUCCCAUCACUUUCUCAGCUAGGCUGGAGGACCCACAGGGAGUCUCAAAAGAACCAGUAGUGCCAGGAAGUCUGGGGACAGCGCCAGGAAGCAGGUGCUCUGGGGACCUAUAUGCACCCUGUAAAGCUGAAAUUGGGGUGGGGGGAGUUCCCGUUGUGGCUCAGCAGUCAUGAACCUGACUAAUGUCCAAGAGGAUGCGGGUUCGAUCCCUGGCCUUACUCAGUGGGUUAAGGAUUGGGCGUUGCCCUGAGCCGUGGUGUAGAUCGCGGACGUGGCCUGGGUCCCGCGUGGCUGUGGCUGUGGUGCAGGCUGGCAGCUGUAGCUCCGAUGUGACCCCUAGCCUGGGAGCCUCCAUAUGCUGCAGGUG
rnacentral:lncRNA from 1 species